UACAGAGGUCUCAAGCGUUGUUCGGAUUCAUUGGGCGUAAAGGGUGCGUAGGUGGCGGGGUUAGUCAGGUGUGAAAUCUCGGGGGCUCAACCCCGAACUAGCACUUGAUACUGCCUUGCUAGAGUAUAGUAGAGGAGAGGGGAAGUUCCUGGUGUAGCAGUGAAAUGCGUAGAGAUCAGGAGGAACAUCAGUGGCGAAGGCGCCUCUCUGGACUAAUACUGACACUGAAAAGCGAAGGCGUGGGGAUCAAACAGGAUUAGAAACCCUGGUAGU
rnacentral:rRNA from 1 species